ACAUUUAUGAGUUUUCAACCAAGCUUCUGCAGAAGGAGAAAACAUAGCAAACCACUUCUCCAAGGUGUUUACCAUGUGUUCUGAUUUCCUGUAGCAGAGCCUGUCUUUUUAUUAAGCAGGAGAAAGAAAGGGAGUCAGAAUGGAAUGUGGGAGAGUUAUAAAUCAAGGGGUGGCUAUUCUGAAACAAGAAAGAACUACAUUCUACACACAAGCAGUUUAAGGUGUAACCCAAGAUAAGAAGCAGCUGCACCUUCAAGGUUUAGGGAAAAAGCAAAGUUUUAUCUUUCACGCGGUUUAACAAAUUCCUCCUCUCUGGGGUGUGAAUGCUAAAUCUUUAAAUGAAAAACAAACUGGUAACUACUUAUGUAAGAAUGAUAACAAAACAUAAUUAUUCUAACAGCAGACAGCAGUCAUUUUCAUUUCUGUGUCUUAAUCCAAAUCUACCACCAUUACAACUCAUAAGGUUAAGUGCAAAAGUGUUUUUAGGGAGUUAAUAGAUAAUUUGAUCUCAAAUCUAAAAUUCUAAAUUAAAUAACUGAACAGGUAUGAUGGAUGCACGUCUCAAAGACCCAACAUCAUAAGUCCGAACCUUUGGACCAAGUGAUAGAUGUUGUUUUGCAUUGAUGCUAAGCCAAUGUUAUUACUAUAUGAAGUUAUUUACAAAAGUUGUUUUGUUUUCUCUAACUGUCACCAACAUGUUCAAUCUAGCAUCCUUCAAAUUUUAGCUCUAUCCAUGAUCCAAUGUACUUUAAUCAAAUAUUAAUUGCCUUUUCAAAAUUCAAUAACAUACAUAUAGUUAUUUAGUUCAGUGUUACUGAAGUGGAUUUGACUCUAAAAGUCGCAGGACUGGAGUGUGUUUUUCCUCAGUUAGUGGUUUUCUUCAAGAACGUAACCCUGCUACGAAUCCAAAGGGAGGAGACCGAGGAAAACCCCAAAUCCACAUGACUUGUCAGAGGUUCAGAAUCACAAAGCACGAAAGGCUGGGAUUUUCAGAAACUAAAACAGCAAGGAUGAACUGACCAACAGUAAACACUCCCUUUAUUGACACUCACUUGAAUCACGGCUUCACAAUAAACAAUCUACCUGGCUGCUGAUUGUAUUUAAAAAUAGCUGUUUUUCCAAAGAAACCUUUGUCAACGUGCACAUUUUUAUGGUUUAUCAUUCUAAUAAGUAUUACUCUCAAUGAUAAACUACCUAUUCUGCUGAGAAGAUUUUUAAUCCGAGGUCAGGUCAAAAAUGUUUCUUCACAUAAGUUGCAUAAGUUGAUUUGAUUUUGUUGAACAGUAACACUGGCUGGUUUACAAGUGUUGAAAUCAUUUUUAAUAGUUGUUAAGUUUUGUUGUUUGUCAUACAGCAGCUUGUUCUAGUUCCGACUGUGAUGGUAGGGUCAUGGAUAAUUAUAAUUCAACAUUUCUGCGAUGAGUUCUGGGCCCCACUGCUUACAUAAACAUGGAGGCACAUCAAGCUAAUGUGGGAGAGCACGACAAAUCACAAAUGUCUGAAUUGAGCAAACACUUGUUUAGCAGCUUUUCUUGGAUCUGCUGUCACUUCUUCCUUCACAGUGUGACAAAUUGUUAUCAAGUACAUCUCAGAAAACUAACAUUGGCGUCAGAAAUAUCAGUAAAAUAAUCAUCUGACUUUGUGGUUUUGGUCGCUCUGUGCUUCCUUUUCCUCGUACGAAGAAAACAUCAAGUUUAAUGCCACAUUUAUCUGCCAUUGCAGUCAGUGUGAGAGCUACAAUCAUUUUUCGCUACCUCCUCAGGGAGCUGAAGAUGAAGUUGCAGUGUUAGCCGAACAGUUACCACAGCAAACUGGGUCAGUCCUGUACGCAAGAGAUCUGCAUUUCAUCCUGAAGAGGAGCGAACCAACCCUUACUUCAAACCAGAAAGAUGGCUUGUUAGGUUUACAAUAAGUCUACAUUUGUAGCAGAUGAUAAAGUGACAGUCCUUUCUGUCAAAUGGUCACCAUGUUCAACCUGAGGCAAGCAUCUCUUCUCUUCAUUCAGCUGUUAAAAAUGCAGAAUGUCUUUGAAGUAUCAGCGACUCAGUUGGAAGUACAUAAGAACAUGUCGGUGUCCUGCGGCGACCCGGUCAUGUUUAUUUGCAACAUAUCUGACAAUGCCACAACUCUAAUCGAGUGGAACAAUGACCGAUUACAUUUUGCAUAUUCCACCUCAUUGAAUCAGACGUCCUCAAACUUUUCCUCUGAAAGAGUCAAAAUAGACUGUAAUAUAUCUUCCACGCUCAGCAUCUUUAAAGCUCGACAUAAUGAUUCUGGACUGUGUACAUGCACUGUAUCUGAUGGAGGAGGCAUUCAAAACAUGACAUGCAAUUUAAAUGUACCUAACAAACAAGGUGUUAAUUUCUCAAGAUACAUAUUUUUCAUUCUAUCACCUGCCAUUGGAUUGUUUAUAUGUUGCAUCACAUUAGUCGUUUGCCUCUGCAAAAAGAGUGGGAGAGGAAGGCAAGACCAAGGCCCAGUCUACAACUAGCACCAGCACCAGCACUCCCAGUCUCAACCAGAACCGAUCUACGAGCAAGUCAAUCUACCAGCUAAUUCAGACUGUUGGAGGAACGCCCAGCAGAGGAGGAUGUACAUUGAGAAACUGAAUUCAAUUUAUGACCCUCUCUGAGCUGAGAUAUAUUCCAGGUCUUUGAAGAAAGAAGGAAGAAGGAAAGAAAUGUUUGAUGGACAUUACCUGUUGUCUUUAUAAUCAGAAGAAAUACAAGAGGACAAGAAGCAGACCUCUCCCAGCAACAUGGUUGUCUUCAUAUUAAAUGGUUCAAAUCAGAAGGCACAAAAACAGCAACCAAGCAUGUUGUUGUUAGCAUUUUAAUGAGGGUCUGUUGCAUUGUCAGAGGUACUGCUUCAUUAAAUUUCUACUUCAUGGUCGGCAAGUCUGAACAGGUACAACUUGUGUGUGUUUUUAUAAGGACAUUUUAGAUCCUUAGAAUAGGAUCUAAAAUUCCUUUUAUAAGGAAUUUUAUUUAUUUAUUUAUUUUUUUUAAUAGGCUAUCCUGAGGCAUAAUAAAGUAAUAUGCAGGGAAUCCAUAAACUGCAGAGAAUGUUGUUGUUGUUGUGUAUUGUGUUUUUAUAUUGCCUACGAUUGAGUGUACUUUCAUUGAAAUUAUGACUUAUUUGAUAUAAUUUUGUUGUUUUCUUUGAUUAUAUAUAAAUGUAUGUAAGGGGCCAGUGUAACAUGUAAACUCACUGAGCAAAAUAUCCCUGUCAGGGCAAUAAAAAGUGGAUAGUCUAAUGAAAGAGGACCAAACUAGCUGUUUGUUGUUUAGUAGGUAAAUAACUUUUGUAUUAUGAGAUUUUUGGAUGUGGUCCAUCGAUAAAGCAAAAAAUAAAUAAAUAAAUAAAAAUAUUGAGGGGAUUUAUUAAGAUGUCUUGAUACAAGCAGUGCAUGGCAUAAGAUUGAUUUUUUUAUGUCUAUGUAGAACUUUUUUGCCACAUCCACAGUUCUCCUAGUAUGUAAUCGUACUAGAGUGAGAUUGCAUCCUAAUCCAACAGCAAACUGGACAGCAGUGAGAAACACUUUGUUGCAAUAGAGACAUUAAUCAACUGUAAAUCUAACGUUGGCUGAAACCUUUAAAUGUGGUUGAGAGAGGAAGACAAGAGAAAAGAGGAUGAAAAUAUGUUUUUUUGUGAAAAAAAGGCAGCAAAGGGGCUUAAAUUUGAGAUGGGAGUGCAAUAGAAUACAACUGUUAGAAUAAUUGUGUAUUGUUAUCAUUCUUACAUUAGUAGUUUUACUAGUUUGUUUUUCAUUCAUAGGUUUAGUAUUCACACCCCAGAGAGGAAGAUUCUGUUAAACCGUGUGAAAGAUAAAACUUGCUUUUUCUGAAGCUGCAGCUGCUUUCUAAUCUAGGGAUCCUCCUUAAAGGGCCUGAGUGUUAGUUUCAGUGUUCUCUUUCUGCUUUGUUUAGAAUAGCCUCCUCCCCUUGACUUAUUACCUCCACAUUCCAUUUUUUCAACAAAUGACUUGUUCUGAUGCAGAGUCAGAAUGCAUGGUAGACUCCUUGGAGAAGUGGUUUGCUAUGUUUUCUCCUUUUGCAAAAGACUUGAUUGAAAACUAAAACGUUGUCUGUGGUUGUCUUUUUAUGAAGGUUGGAGAAAUACCUAUCAAAAACAAAGACAUAUUUUCUCGUCAUGCUGAUAUUUCCACUUUCUAAAACAUAAUUUAAAAACAUUUAACUGUACAGGUUCUUCCUUUGCAACAUGAUUCAAGUCUUAAGUCUUUGCCCAGCCUACAAGCAGCGAGCAUUUUGUAAACUGGUACAGGAAGGCUCUGCACAGAUCUGAUCCGCAGAUGCCAGUGGAACAAAACCAACAGUAGCAAAGAAAAAUAAAGACAGAGGUGUGUAGCUACGGUGGUACUGUAGUGACACUUCAACUGCUUAAAAGUUUCCGACACUGCCAUUUCAGAAGGAGCCAGAAGGAAAGAGCCAAUUACCUCCUUCAGCCAGCAGAGGGAGCUUGUAUACCAUA